GUAUCUCAUACCUUUAUUGCAUUCAAUUUCAGCACAGAAAUACAUAUCAGACUCAUCUAGAAGGUUUUCAUCAACAAGUGACUUGGCUUGUGGCAUUUCCUGUAACAAACCAGCUUUAGUUAUUACAUUUUAACAGGGCUCCAGGACACAAGGACUGAAGUAAUUUUAUCUGGGAACAGCUUUUGUGGCGCAUCACUGGCAGGGACCUGCAUUUUUUCUAAAAAACACAUUCCAUUUAAUUUAUUCCAGUGGCCAUCUUGCAAUCAUCAUGUGAAGAUGAAUAAUAAAGAAUUCUUUGCAUCACUUAAAAUUCACUAUUCUUAUUUUCAUGUCACUUUAGUAAGGUAAUGGUACCUAUUAUCGGACACUUUAGAUUUACGAUAUUAAACAAUUUACCACCAAUUUCGACCAAUUUAACAAAAAUUUGAUAGUUGAAUUUGGGAAAAAACAAUCCUUCGUAAGACGUGUUGUGAAUCCCUUUUAUCGUAUACCUAGUGUAGCACCCUAGCCCUAUUAUCGGACAGCAGAUUUCUUCUAAAAAAAACAACAACAGGAAAAUCAAUCGUGCUUCAUUUUCAUUCAAAUACUGCAAACAAUUAUUGUUGACAUAUGUUCUUUGCAAAACUUAUGAUAGAUUUUAGUUUGAGACUAUUUCUUCUCCGUAGCAAGCGAUUCAAAACACAGGCAUCGCGCGCAUGACAAACUGCAUGGCGAAAUGUGUGUUUGCUCAUUGAUCACUCAAAUUAACAGUGAAUCAUUUGGUGAUUGCUCGGCUGUCCGAUAAUAGGGCACCUAGUUUAGGUACGAACAACUCGAGCUAUCCUGAAGUGUCUACGGAAACAGAGGCCAAAUAGCAUCCUGGGAGAUCAUCAACAUAAUGGCGGAUUCAUUGAGCAACGAUUUACGAUCGGUAAAUCUUGGACUUUUAAAGGCUUUUUUCAUCCUCGGGUAUUCAAGCCAAAGAGAGGAUUUCAAUCGCCAUUUUGUGGUGCGUGAGAGAAAAUUAUUUCUAGUUUUGCAAAACAAUAAACACUUGUAAAAAGCUUGGGAAUACAUGUUUUCUGAAUGUUGUUUCUUCAACUCGAUGGGUCACAUUUUGGCGUGUUUUCCAAUUGUUUGAGAUAUUAACGUUUUUUUCCGAGUGUCCAAAAAUAGGGCACUGUCCGAUAAUAUAAACCACUACCUUAUUAUUUCGAAAAUCACGAUAACAUAUAAUAAGGGUAAUAAUAACAACAACAACAACAAGAGGAAGAAGAUAACAAUAACAACUUUUGUAUAGCACAAAGAAGAGUAACGUAGCAUAGCAUAGCCUAGCAUAGCAUGUAAAUAUGAUACAUAGUACAAUUCGCUAAAUCAACAAAGUGAUAUCUCAUAGUGUGGGUAAUUAAUUAAAGGCGUUUCUCACCAAGAGAUGAAAGUUGUCUCUGUAGAGCCAGCCUAGCUAGGACCCUGGCACGUAUCGCCUUGAUGGUGACCUCCAUAUGUGAUCUACUGACGUCUGACUCAGCUACCACCGCCUAAGGGUAUUCAAAUCACUUAUUAUCAUUAUCAUAAUUAAAAUCAUUUUCUCUAUCAAUAUCAUCUCUGCUCUAUUAAUUCAUUAAGGAUAAUCAAAUCAAAUCAUUUAUGCUUCUUUGAUUUAUUGCAAUAGGAAAGAUGAGCUCAUUUUAGUUACUGUUUUAUAAUUCGUAGCAAAUAAGUAGAGGUAAACAAAUUAAGUUGAGGUUAAGUUGAGUACAGGUUAACAAAAUAAAGUUGAUUGAUUGAUUGAU